GCGCGCCUAACACAUGCAAGUCGAACGAGAGAUGAGGAGCUUGCUCUUCAAAUCGAGUGGCGAACGGGUGAGUAACGCGUGAGGAACCUGCCUCAAAGAGGGGGACAACAGUUGGAAACGACUGCUAAUACCGCAUAAGCCCACAGCUCGGCAUCGAGCAGAGGGAAAAGGAGCAAUCCGCUUUGAGAUGGCCUCGCGUCCGAUUAGCUAGUUGGUGAGGUAACGGCCCACCAAGGCGACGAUCGGUAGCCGGACUGAGAGGUUGAACGGCCACAUUGGGACUGAGACACGGCCCAGACUCCUACGGGAGGCAGCAGUGGGGAAUAUUGCACAAUGGGGGAAACCCUGAUGCAGCGACGCCGCGUGGAGGAAGAAGGUCUUCGGAUUGUAAACUCCUGUUGUUGAGGAAGAUAAUGACGGUACUCAACAAGGAAGUGACGGCUAACUACGUGCCAGCAGCCGCGGUAAAACGUAGGUCACAAGCGUUGUCCGGAAUUACUGGGUGUAAAGGGAGCGCAGGCGGGAGAACAAGUUGGAAGUGAAAUCCAUGGGCUCAACCCAUGAACUGCUUUCAAAACUGUUUUUCUUGAGUAGUGCAGAGGUAGGCGGAAUUCCCGGUGUAGCGGUGGAAUGCGUAGAUAUCGGGAGGAACACCAGUGGCGAAGGCGGCCUACUGGGCACCAACUGACGCUGAGGCUCGAAAGUGUGGGUAGCAAACAGGAUUAGAUACCCUGGUAGUCCACACCGUAAACGAUGAUUACUAGGUGUUGGAGGAUUGACCCCUUCAGUGCCGCAGUUAACACAAUAAGUAAUCCACCUGGGGAGUACGACCGCAAGGUUGAAACUCAAAGGAAUUGACG
rnacentral:rRNA from 1 species